rnacentral:rRNA from 1 species
GACGAACGCUGGCGGCGUGCCUAAUACAUGCAAGUCGAACGAGAGCGACCGGUGCUUGCACUGGUCAAUCUAGUGGCGCACGGGUGAGUAACACGUGUGUAGCCUGCCCAUCAGAGGGGUAUAACAUUCGGAAACGGAUGCUAACACCGCAUAGGUCUUCGAACCGCAUGGUUUGAAGAGGAAAAGAGGCGCAAGCUUCUGCUGAUGGAUGGACCCGCGUUGCAUUAGCUAGUUGGUGAGGUAACGGCUCACCAAGGCCGUGAUGCAUAGCCGACCUGAGAGGGUGAUAGGCCACAUUGGGACUGAGACACGGACCAAACGCCUAAGGGAGGCAGCAGUAGGGAAUCUUCCGCAAUGGACGCAAGUCUGACGGAGCAACGCCGCGUGAGUGAAGAAGGUUUUCGGAUCGUAAAACUCUGUUGUUAGAGAAGAACAAGUGCUAGAGUAACUGUUAGCGCAUUGACGGUAGCUAAUCAGAAAGCCACGGCUAACUACGUG